rnacentral:rRNA from 1 species
AACGAACGCUGGCGGCAUGCCUAACACAUGCAAGUCGAACGAGACCUUCGGGUCUAGUGGCGCACGGGUGCGUAACGCGUGGGAAUCUGCCCUUGGGUUCGGAAUAACAGCGAGAAAUUGCUGCUAAUACCGGAUGAUGACGUAAGUCCAAAGAUUUAUCGCCCAAGGAUGAGCCCGCGUAGGAUUAGCUAGUUGGUGAGGUAAAGGCUCACCAAGGCGACGAUCCUUAGCUGGUCUGAGAGGAUGAUCAGCCACACUGGGACUGAGACACGGCCCAGACUCCUACGGGAGGCAGCAGUGGGGAAUAUUGGACAAUGGGCGAAAGCCUGAUCCAGCAAUGCCGCGUGAGUGAUGAAGGCCUUAGGGUUGUAAAGCUCUUUUACCCGGGAUGAUAAUGACAGUACCGGGAGAAUAAGACUCCGGCUAACUCCGUGCCAGCAGCCGCGGU